UACGUAGGGGGCAAGCGUUGUCCGGAAUCCUUGGGCGUAAAGAGCGUGUAGGCGGCCAGAUAGGUCUGCUGUGAAAACUCGAGGCUCAACCUCGAGAUGUCGGCGGAAACCAUUUGGCUAGAGUCCGGAAGAGGAAAGUGGAAUUCCUGGUGUAGCGGUGAAAUGCGCAGAUAUCAGGAAGAACACCCGUGGCGAAGGCGGCUUUCUGGGACGGUACUGACGCUGAGACGCGAAAGCGUGGGGAGCGAACAGG
rnacentral:rRNA from 1 species